AUUGAACGCUGGCGGAAUGCUUUACACAUGCAAGUCGAACGGCAGCACGGACUUCGGUCUGGUGGCGAGUGGCGAACGGGUGAGUAAUAUAUCGGAACGUGCCCAGUCGUGGGGGAUAACGUAGCGAAAGCUACGCUAAUACCGCAUACGAUCUACGGAUGAAAGCGGGGGAUCGCAAGACCUCGCGCGAUUGGAGCGGCCGAUAUCAGAUUAGGUAGUUGGUGAGGUGAAGGCUCACCAAGCCGACGCGCUGUAGCUGGUCUGAGAGGACGGCCACGAACGAUGGCAGUGAGGCAGGGGCCAGACGCCUACGGGGGGCAGCAGUGGGGAAUGUUGUGCAAUCGCGGCGAGUCUGGUCCGUCCAUUCCGCGUGCAGGACGAAGGCCUUCGGGUUGUAAACUGCUUUUGUACAGAACGAAAAGGUCUCUGUUAAUACUAGGGGCUCAUGACGGUACUGUAAGAAUAAGCACCGGCUAACUACGUGCGAGCCGCCGCCGUAA
rnacentral:rRNA from 1 species